GAUGAAGAACGUAGCGAAAUGCGAUAAGUAAUGUGAAUUGCAGAAUUCAGUGAAUCAUCGAAUCUUUGAACGCACAUUGCGCCCGCCAGUAUUCUGGCGGGCAUGCCUGUUCGAGCGUCAUUUCAACCAUCAAGCCCCCGGCUUGUGUUGGGGACCUGCGGCUGCCGCAGGCCCUGAAAAGCAGUGGCGGGCUCGCUGUCACACCGAGCGUAGUAGCAUACAUCUCGCUCUGGGCGUGCUGCGGGUUCCGGCCGUUAAACCACCUUCAUAACCCAAGGUUGACCUCGGAUCAGGUAGGAAGACCCGCUGAACUUAAGCAUAUCAAGCGAGGA
rnacentral:misc_RNA from 1 species